AGCCCAAAGUAAAAUAUUUUGGGUUAAACCUGCCCAAUGUAAAUCAAUAUUAAUGGCCGCGGUACUUUGACCGUGCUAAGGUAGCGAAAUCAAUUGGCUUUUAAUUGGAGUCAGGUAUGAAUGGAGUUACGUGGCUCAGCUGUCUCCUAAGUAAUUAUUUGAAGUUACUAUAUGGAUGAAAAAGUCCAGCAAAAAGAAAAAAGACGAGAAGACCCUUAGAAUUUAUCUAAAAAUAGAUUUAUCUAUUUAUCUAUUACGGUUUAGUUGGGGCAACUUAAGAAAAAUUCUAAUUUCUUUAAUUUUUACUAGUCGAUUAUAUAAAAUAUGUAUAAAUUACCUUAGGGAUAACAGCAUUAUCUAAAAAAUAAGUUUGUGACCUCGAUGUUGGACUGGGAAACUAUAAGGCUAGCCGUUUUGUAGGAAAGUUCUGUUCGAACUAAAAUUCCC
rnacentral:rRNA from 1 species